rnacentral:lncRNA from 1 species
GGAGCACUGAUCCCAUACCCCAGACCCCUAACAUAACAAGAUCUCGUACCAAGCAUCUGAUCAUAAAUUUCAUCAUUUGUGGGUGCGGUUGAGCCUUUAAAGAUAGGCUAGGAUCUGAUGUCCAUCAUAUGAUCCUAAAAAUUAAAGUUAUAGCUAUUUUAAUUUCGUAUUGAAAAUCAAACUGCGAAUGAAAAAAUUAAUUGAAAAAACUUACAAAAGCUCCUAGCUCCCCAUCGUUCACUCCCCUG